AAGGAUGGCCAGUUUUGUGAAAUCACAAUAGAAGAAGACAUUGAUGAAACCAGAUCAAUGAAGAAAAAAGAGAAAAAGAAAAAAAUACAGUCUUCACCCACACCGCCACCCCCUCCACCAAAGAAGUCUGGUCCAGAUAAGGAUGCACUAGAGACUGAGAAGCUGAAGAGGCCAUGGGAGAAGCUCUUUUCUUACUCCUGCUUUCUGCCACCUGACUAAAACCUGAUGCUUCCCUGUGAUCCUGUGUGACAUGCAGUAACCUCUGCUUUGGGACCUACUCACGGCAAUUUAAUUGUACUCGUAAUUGAAGAUGUUGAAGAAAGAACCGAAUGGAAGAAGACGGAGAAGCAGAAACUCAAGCCAUCACCCCUGACAUGUCCUUGCAUCUUUCUUUACCCAGUUCAGAUUCUGCGGUUAUUAUUGUAAUCUCUGCUCUGCACAACUUGACUUCUCUUAGCCCUCUCUCUGCAAGCAUGUGUGGGGUGAACUCAACCAUCUACCUGCUCUGUGCCUGCAGAACAGCGAGCAUGGCUGGAACAAAACAAACAAUCCUGAGGCAUGAUCUAUCUCAGUUAAUAUUCAUAACUGUAGAUGUCUACUGGACAAAUUUCCCAAAAAAUUUCUCUGCUAUGCUUGCAUUUCCAUGUUCUGAGUUGAAAAUCCAUAUCACCUCCUCUCCAAAUGUCCAGUUCUACAUCUUCUCCCCUUGAACUGGAUGAUGGUAUAUGUCACCACACACUCAACUGAAGAAAUGGGAGCAGACUGGACCCCCAUCUUCCUACCACCACAUUCUCCCUUUUCCUUCCCUCUAAAUACAAACUAAAUACUGUGAAAAUAAUUCAGUAGACAAUCCUAAAAGGACUCUGAAAUGUGGAAAGAAGGUGGAUCGGCUAGGAACCUCAAGAUUUAAAAAUGUACACCAUGAUGAAUUCUCUAGGUUUUCUUUUUAUCUAUCAUGUAUCUCAGACUGGACACCAGAAAUGUCUGCAAUUCAGAACCACUAAGGGGUAUAGAGGAAAUAAAACAAAAACAAGAACAGCCUGCUCUCUAUAGCCAAAGGAAGGGUAGCCUCACAGAAACUAUGCAGGGAGACCCAUACCUAGUGGCAAUGACAGGCUAACCUGCCUGCAGUAGUGACACUAGUACCCAGAUGGAUCAAUCCGUCUCAUGCUCCAAAUCCACUGGUAGCAGCAGGCAUGAUCUGCCCACAGCAGCAGCAAUAAUGGAACCCAGGCUUAUCUACCCUCUCCGUACCCCACAUCAGCCAGCAGCAGUGGCCCAAGCUAUCCUCAGAAGCAGUAGCAGCAGAACCCACCACAUUUCUUAUCUGCUGAUGGAAGCAGGCCUGAUCUACCUUCCUGAUGAAAGAGACUGAAGAAGAUACAAAUAAAUGGAAACAUUUUCCAUGUUCAUGGUUAAGAGGAGUUAAUAUUGUUAAGAUGUCCAUACUACCCAAAGUGAUCUAUGGAUUCAGUUCAAUCCCUAUCAUAAUUCCUAUGGCAUUUUUCACAGAAAUAGAAAAAAGAACCCAAAAAUUUGUAUCGAGCCACAAAUGAUCCUGAAUAGUCAAUGUAAUCUUUAGAAAAAAAAGAACAAAACUGAGAGGCAUCACACUUCCUGGUUUCAACUAAUAUUAACAAAGCUAUAGCAAUAAGAACAAUAUGGUACUGCCAUAAAAACAGACACACAGACCAAUGAGACAGAAUAGAGGACCCAGUAAUACACCCACACGUGUAUGUCAAUAUUUGACAAGGGAGCCAGGAAUACACAUGGGUAAAGACUAGUCUCUUCAAUAAAUGAUGGGAAAACUGGAUGUCCACAUGCAAAAGAAUGAAAUUGAACCUUUAGUCUUGCACCAUGUACAGAAUAAACUGAAAAUGAAUUAAAGACCUAAACAUAGACCUGAAACUGUAAACUUCUAGGAGGAAACAUAGGAGAAAAACUGCUUGGCAUUUGUCUUGGCAGUGAUUGGAAACAGUUGAGAAGAAUUGGCUUUAAAUGGUUGCUAGAAUUCACCCAUCAAGUAUGUGAACUUGACUUUACUGGGAGAUUUUUUUUUUUUUAUUACUGCUUGAAUCCACUUGCUAUUGAUCUGUUCACAUUUUGUACUUCAUCAUGAUUCAGUCUUGGUAGGUUGUAUAUUUCUAGGAACUCAUCCAUGUCUUCUAGGUUAUUCAAUUAGUUUGUGUAUAGCUGUUCAUAAUAAUAUGAUCCUCUGUAUUUCUGUGGUAUCAGGUGUAAUAUAUACUCUUUCAAUUAUAAUUUUAUUUAUUUGAAUCCUCUCUCUUUUUUUUUUCUUGGUUAGUCUAGCUAAAGGUGUGUCAAAAUUGUUUAUCUUUUUAAAAAACAGCCCUUAGGUUAAUUGAAUUUUUCUAUUAUACUAUUUCUGCUCUAAUGUUUAUUAUUUUUCCUCACUUUGGGCUUAGUUUGUUCUUCUUUUUCUAGUUCCAUAAGAUAUAAAGUUGGGUUGUUUAUUUGA